GACGAACGCUGGCGGCGUGCUUAACACAUGCAAGUCGAACGGAAAGGCCCUGCUUUUGUGGGGUGCUCGAGUGGCGAACGGGUGAGUAACACGUGAGUAACCUGCCCUUGACUUUGGGAUAACUUCAGGAAACUGGGGCUAAUACCGGAUAGGAGCUCCUGCCGCAUGGUGGGGGUUGGAAAGUUUCGGCGGUUGGGGAUGGACUCGCGGCUUAUCAGCUUGUUGGUGGGGUAGUGGCUUACCAAGGCUUUGACGGGUAGCCGGCCUGAGAGGGUGACCGGCCACAUUGGGACUGAGAUACGGCCCAGACUCCUACGGGAGGCAGCAGUGGGGAAUAUUGCACAAUGGGCGGAAGCCUGAUGCAGCAACGCCGCGUGCGGGAUGACGGCCUUCGGGUUGUAAACCGCUUUCGCCUGUGACGAAGCGUGAGUGACGGUAAUGGGUAAAGAAGCACCGGCUAACUACGUGCCAGCAGCCGCGGUGAUACGUAGGGUGCGAGCGUUGUCCGGAUUUAUUGGGCGUAAAGGGCUCGUAGGUGGUUGAUCGCGUCGGAAGUGUAAUCUUGGGGCUUAACCCUGAGCGUGCUUUCGAUACGGGUUGACUUGAGGAAGGUAGGGGAGAAUGGAAUUCCUGGUGGAGCGGUGGAAUGCGCAGAUAUCAGGAGGAACACCAGUGGCGAAGGCGGUUCUCUGGGCCUUUCCUGACGCUGAGGAGCGAAAGCGUGGGGAGCGAACAGGCUUAGAUACCCUGGUAGUCCACGCUGUAAACGGUGGGUACUAGGUGUGGGGUCCAUUCCACGGGUUCCGUGCCGUAGCUAACGCUUUAAGUACCCCGCCUGGGGAGUACGGCCGCAAGGCUAAAACUCAAAGGAAUUGACGGGGCCCCGCACAAGCGGCGGAGCAUGCGGAUUAAUUCGAUGCAACGCGUAGAACCUUACCUGGGUUUGACAUGGAUCGGGAGUGCUCAGAGAUGGGUGUGCCUCUUUUGGGGUCGGUUCACAGGUGGUGCAUGCCUGUCGUCAGCUCGUGUCGUGAGAUGUUGGGUUAAGUCCCGCAACGAGCGCAACCCUUGUUCACUGUUGCCAGCACGUUAUGGUGGGGACUCAGUGGAGACCGCCGGGGUCAACUCGGAGGAAGGUGGGGAUGACGUCAAGUCCUCAUGCCCCUUAUGUCCAGGGCUUCACGCAUGCUACAAUGGCUGGUACAGAGAGUGGCGAGCCUGUGAGGGUGAGCGAAUCUCGGAAAGCCGGUCUCAGUUCGGAUUGGGGUCUGCAACUCGACCUCAUGAAGUCGGAGUCGCUAGUAAUCGCAGAUCAGCAACGCUGCGGUGAAUACGUUCCCGGGGCU
rnacentral:rRNA from 1 species